UACGUAGGCAGCAAGCGUUGUUCGGAGUUACUGGGCGUAAAGGGUGUGUAGGCGGCCUGUUAAGUUCCGUGUGAAAUCUCCCGGCUCAACCGGGAGGGUGCGCGGAAAACUGGCGGGCUAGAGUCCUGGAGAGGAAGGUGGAAUGCUUGGUGUAGAGGUGAAAUUCGUAGAUAUCAAGCGGAACACCGGUGGCGAAGGCGGCCUUCUGGACAGUGACUGACGCUGAGACGCGAAAGCGUGGGGAGCAAACAGG
rnacentral:rRNA from 1 species